AAUGGCCCUGCAGGAGGCAUUCAGUAAUGGGCUACUUGGGCUAGACCCUCUCAGCUAAAGGCUAGGCCUAGUCUAGUAAAAAAUGCAAAAGGAAAUAGAGGCAAUUUUCCAAGUAAUUCAGGAGAAAAGCACUUUCAUCUCAACUCUCAAGGGCUUGCUACGUAGGCCAGAACUACACCAACACGCUUUGAUGCUGAAGCAGAAUUUGGUACAAGGUGGCUGUAAGUCAGAUCUCCUGCUAAUUGUGUGAAACUGUUUAUGUUGAUUCAUCUAAGCAGCUGGUCUUUUGAGAGAGAUGCAACAGACCAAAGAACAAAGACAGAAGCUUGAGAAGCCAUGUUAGGACUUGUUGCACAGCAUGGUGACUGCUAUGGAACAUUGGUAUGGAGUUUCAGGAGAAAUAAGGGUGAUAGGAUCCAGCUCCCCCCAGCAGAGUUCUUGGAUGUCAAGUCCUGAUAAAUCCCCGCCGCCUCCUGGGUCCAAGCUCGGGUACCACUAACUUGUCCCAAGAGAGUGGGGAGUGAGACCUGUAAGUCAACUAAUAUAAGAUCUCUCAGGAUUUUCUAGCAAUACAACCAUGUGAUCUCUGAAUAAAGACAGUGUGUGUGUGUAUACUGCAUAUA